rnacentral:tRNA from 1 species
GGAGAGGUGCACGAGUGGCUUAAAUGGCAGACCUGGAAAGUCUGUGUGCCAGCAAUGGCACCGAGGGUUCGAAUCCCUCCCUCUCCGCCA